rnacentral:misc_RNA from 1 species
CCGAGUUUACAACUCCCAAACCCAAUGUGAACGUUACCAAACUGUUGCCUCGGCGGGGUCACGCCCCGGGUGCGUAAAAGCCCCGGAACCAGGCGCCCGCCGGAGGAGCCAACCAAACUCUUUCUGUAGUCCCCUCGCGGACGUAUUUCUUACAGCUCUGAGCAAAAAUUCAAAAUGAAUCA